GCGCUGGUGGCUCAAUUGGUCAGAGCUUUGUGCUUAUGAAGCAUCGACAAGAUGUUCCAUGCACUCACAAGGGUUGUGAGUUCGAGUCUCACCCGGCGCA